AUGGAACAAUGUAGGCAAGGGAAGUCGGCAAAACGGAUCCGUAACUUCGGGAAAAGGAUUGGCUCUAAGGACUGGCCUCGGGGGUCCCGGCCCCGAACCCGUCGGCUGUCGGCGGAUUGCUCGAGCUGCUCACGCGGCGAGAGCGGGUCGCCGCGUGCCGGCCGGGGGACGGACCGGGAAUCGCCCCUUCGGGGGCUUUCCCCGAGCAUGAAACAGUCGACUCAGAACUGGUACGGACAAGGGGAAUCCGACUGUUUAAUUAAAACAAAGCAUUGCGAUGGUCCUCGCGGAUGCUGA
rnacentral:rRNA from 1 species